GAUGAACGCUGGCGGCGUGCCUAAUACAUGCAAGUCGAGCGAACAGACGAGGAGCUUGCUCCUCUGACGUUAGCGGCGGACGGGUGAGUAACACGUGGAUAACCUACCUAUAAGACUGGGAUAACUUCGGGAAACCGGAGCUAAUACCGGAUAAUAUAUUGAACCGCAUGGUUCAAUAGUGAAAGACGGUUUUGCUGUCACUUAUAGAUGGAUCCGCGCCGCAUUAGCUAGUUGGUAAGGUAACGGCUUACCAAGGCAACGAUGCGUAGCCGACCUGAGAGGGGGAUGGGCGACACUGGAACUGAGACACGGUCCAGACUCCUACGGGAGGCAGCAGUAGGGAAGCUUCGGCAAUGGGCGAAAGCCUGACGGAGCAACGCAGGGUGAGUGGUGAAGGUCUUCGGAUCGGAAAACUCUGUUAUUAGGGAAGAACAAAUGUGUAAGUAACUAUGCACGUCUUGACGGUACCUAAUCAGAAAGCCACGGCUAACUACGUG
rnacentral:rRNA from 1 species